AUUGAACGCUGGCGGCAGGCCUAACACAUGCAAGUCGAGCGGACGAAGGGAGCUUGCUCCUGGAUUCAGCGGCGGACGGGUGAGUAAUGCCUAGGAAUCUGCCUGGUAGUGGGGGAUAACGUCCGGAAACGGGCGCUAAUCCCGCAUACGUCCUGAGGGAGAAAGUGGGGGAUCUUCGGACCUCACGCUAUCAGAUGAGCCUAGGUCGGAUUAGCUAGUUGGUGGGGUAAAGGCCUACCAAGGCGACGAUCCGUAACUGGUCUGAGAGGCUGAUCAGUCACACUGGAACUGAGACACGGUCCAGACUCCUACGGGAGGCAGCAGUGGGGAAUAUUGGGCAAUGGGCGAAAGCCUGAUCCAGCCAUGCCGCGUGAGUGAAGAAGGUCUUCGGAUUGUAAAGCACUUUAAGUUGGGAGGAAGGGCAGUAAGUUAAUACCUUGCUGUAUUGACGUUACCAACAGAAUAAGCACCGGCUAACUUCGUG
rnacentral:rRNA from 1 species